GUCGCCCUCCCUAGUCCAAUAACAUCACCCGCUCCCUUCAAAUCCCGUAUAGGUCUUCGUGGCCCUCAGAUGUGGCAGCCCUCAGGCACGACGCUGCCGGAUCUGGUCGGCUUGGCCUCGUCGCCCCAACCAAUAGGUGCUCCACGCCUCUCCUCAGGACCGUAGCGGUAUUCUUCGUCGGCUCUCUAUCCCUCCACCUCAUGCGCCAUGUAUUGGCCUUCUGCCCUUUCUUGAAGCUCCUCCUCAUCCAAGUGGUCACCUGAUGUUGCCGAGUGGACCACGCUCACUCGCGCAUUUGCACGCCAGUACCAGGUUUGGUCGCCACCUCCUUCGCACAAUUCUGUUGUAAUGGAUGGUGGGCUUUUUUCUGGUGGUUGGGGUGCAGGAUUUGCUCGUGUGUUUCAAGUUGAAUACUGGGUAGAUGGAGGAGAUGUGCCAUGGCAGGCUACUGUGGUGGUGAGAUUCAGGUCUAAGUCGGGCCUACCUGAAGAGCAAGAAUAUAAAGCUUUUGAGCUUAGGCACAUGACUCAAGCCCCCAGAAUCUGAUGGUCUAUUGAGCCAGUUUUAUGCUGGGUGAGGAAGGGUGGAACAGUGAACCUUGCCACACAACGGCACCCCCUUCGCCUGAUGACCUUUUCCAAUCACGAUGACCUCCCGUCGCUGCUGAAGGAAUUGGAAACAGUACUGGAGGAAUUGUGAUAUAUGGCAAGGUGGGUGAUGUCUAUGGAAAUGAUUGUUGAGCGUUAUGAUACAUAUGGUGAUGCAGGGUGACGAGUCUAAUGUCUUUCGUCAAGACAUGCAACAAAGUGAAGUUAUGAAGUUCUGGUCAAUUUAGCUUAUGCAUAAUGCUUGGACCAUAGAUCUUAGUUACUAUUUUGUUUUGCAUUUCAAACUUCCUAGA